rnacentral:rRNA from 1 species
UACGAAGGGGGCUAGCGUUGCUCGGAAUCACUGGGCGUAAAGGGUUCGUAGGCGGGUUUUUAAGUCAGGUGUGAAAUCCUGGAGCUCAACUCCAGAACUGCCUUUGAUACUGAGGAUCUUGAGUUCGGGAGAGGUGAGUGGAACUGCGAGUGUAGAGGUGAAAUUCGUAGAUAUUCGCAAGAACACCAGUGGCGAAGGCGGCUCACUGGCCCGAUACUGACGCUGAGGCACGAAAGCGUGGGGAGCAAACAGG